GCAUAUCAAUAAGCGGAGGAAAAGAAACCAACAGGGAUUGCCUCAGUAACGGCGAGUGAAGCGGCAACAGCUCAAAUUUGAAAUCUGGCCUCACGGUCCGAGUUGUAAAUUUGUAGAGGAUGCUUUUGGCGAGGUGCUUUUCCGAGUUUCCCUGGAACGGGACGCCAUAGAGGGUGAGAGCCCCCGUACGGUAAGACCACCGAGCCUCUGUAAAGCUCCUUCGACGAGUCGAGUAGUUUGGGAAUGCUGCUCUAAAUGGGAGGUGUACGUCUUCUAAAGCUAAAUACCGGCCAGAGACCGAUAGCGCACAAGUAGAGUGAUCGAAAGAUGAAAAGCACUUUGAAAAGAGGGUUAAAAAGUACGUGAAAUUGUUGAAAGGGAAGCAUUCAUGACCAGACUUGGGCUUGGUUGAACAUCCGGCGUUCUCGCCGGUGCACUCUGCCAGUCCAGGCCAGCAUCAGUUUGCCCCGGGGGACAAAGGCGGUGGGAAUGUGGCUCUCUUCGGGGAGUGUUAUAGCCCGCCGUGUAAUGCCCUGGGGCGGACUGAGGAACGCGCUUCGGCACGGAUGCUGGCGUAAUGGUCAUCAAUGACCCGUCUUGAAACACGGACCAAGGAGUCGUCUUCGUAUGCGAGUGUUCGGGUGUCAAACCCCUACGCGUAAUGAAAGUGAACGUAGGUGAGAGCUUCGGCGCAUCACCGACCGAUCCUGAUGUUCUCGGAUGGAUUUGAGUAAGAGCAUACGGGGCCGGACCCGAAAGAAGGUGAACUAUGCCUGUAUAGGGUGAAGCCAGAGGAAACUCUGGUGGAGGCUCGCAGCGGUUCUGACGUGCAAAUCGAUCGUCAAAUAUGGGCAUGGGGGGCGAAAGACUAAUCGAACCUUCUAGUAGCUGGGUUUCCGCCGA
rnacentral:rRNA from 1 species